GUUGUAUUUCCUUUCUCUAUAUAAUAAGUUAUACUUAAAUUAACUUAAAAAAUAUUCCUUACAGUGACAUUUUUGUAUGCAUCAAGAAAACUGUAUGUCCUAAAAUUUUUGGUUUAGGAUUAACCUGAAACACUGGUCUGUGGUAGAACACCUGAGUUUCAGUUUCAGUUAAGCUGAAGGGCUUUGGGCCAAUUGUUUCACCUCUGGACAUCAUUUCUCCUCAUAUGUUAAAUAUAGAGGGUGGAUUAGCCAGGUGUGGUGGUGGGCACCUGUGAUCCCAGCUACUGAGGAGGCUGAGACACAAGAAUCCCUUGAACCUAGAGGCGGAGGUUGCAGUGAGCCAAGAUUGCGUCACUGCACUCCAGCCUAGGCGACAGAGCAAGACUGUCUCAACACACACACACACACACACACACACACACACACACACACACCCCACAGAGGGUGGGUUUAGAUUCAUAGCUCCCAACUGUGGCUGCACAUUGGUAUCAUCUGGAAGACUGAAAACAGAUAAUGCCCUGGCUCCACCAUCAGAAAGGAUGGUUUGGACUGGGGCUUGGCAUUGGUAUUUAAAGAUUAAAAGUAUCUCCUCUGGGAUUUCUAAUGUGAAGCUAGGGUCGAAAACUUUCAAUCCUUCAAUAUCUAUAGCUAUUCAGAAACCAGAAAAUAAGAAAGGACAAGUUUUUUCGGAUGGCCCGUAUUUUUCCUAAGGGUAUAAAAUAUAAGACGUGGGUUCAAAUGAAGUCAUAGCCUACCCUAAAACUUAAAAAGUCUUUGAAGAAAAAAUAAAAUUUCAUCUCAUACAAAAAAAGAUAUGGACUACAAAUGAAUAGGUAUAUGGUGCUAUUAUUGUAAAAAUUCCAUUAUUAGAACCAUGGCAUCAAACUAUAAGGUUAAUAUAGAAUUAUAUAAUCUAGAAUUAUUUGAAAAUUUGUUAUAAAUUAUUUGUUCAAACGAUAAAAUAUUUUUUACCAAGUUCUCUUUAAUAAUACUGCUAUCCGCUGUAUAGUUUAAUAAAUAAGGCAGCAAACUAUUUUUAACUAUAAACAAUUCAGGUCCUUUUAAGUGCAAAAGGAUGCCUU
rnacentral:lncRNA from 1 species